rnacentral:rRNA from 1 species
UACGUAGGGGGCGAGCGUUGUCCGGAUUUAUUGGGCGUAAAGAGCGUGUAGGCGGCCAGGUAGGUCUGCUGUGAAAAUUCGAGGCUCAACCUCGAGACGUCGGCGGAAACCAUCUGGCUAGAGUCCGGAAGAGGAGAGUGGAAUUCCUGGUGUAGCGGUGAAAUGCGCAGAUAUCAGGAAGAACACCCGUGGCGAAGGCGGCUCUCUGGGACGGUACUGACGCUGAGACGCGAAAGCGUGGGGAGCGAACAGG